UGCCAGAACUCAGGAAAACUGAAAGGAAGGU
rnacentral:piRNA from 1 species